UACGUAUGGUGCAAGCGUUGUCCGGAAUUAUUGGGCGUAAAGAGCUCGUAGGCGGUCUGUCGCGUCUGCUGUGAAAACUCAGGGCUUAACCCUGAGCUUGCAGUGGGUACGGGCAGACUAGAGUGCGGUAGGGGAGACUGGAAUUCCUGGUGUAGCGGUGGAAUGCGCAGAUAUCAGGAGGAACACCGAUGGCGAAGGCAGUUCUCUGGGCCGUAACUGACGCUGAGGAGCGAAAGCCAGGGGAGCAAACGGG
rnacentral:rRNA from 1 species